rnacentral:rRNA from 1 species
CAGUCGCCGCGGGAAUACGUAGGGUGCGAGCGUUAAUCGGAAUUACUGGGCGUAAAGCGUGCGCAGGCGGUUUUGUAAGACAGGCGUGAAAUCCCCGGGCUCAACCUGGGAAUGGCGCUUGUGACUGCAAAGCUAGAGUGCGGCAGAGGGGGAUGGAAUUCCGCGUGUAGCAGUGAAAUGCGUAGAUAUGCGGAGGAACACCGAUGGCGAAGGCAAUCCCCUGGGCCUGCACUGACGCUCAUGCACGAAAGCGUGGGGAGCAAACAGGAUUAGAGACCCCCGUAGUCCCUGUCUCUUAUAC